UGCCAGCCGCCGCGGUAAUACUGAGGGUGCAAGCGUUAAUCGGAUUUAUUGGGCGUAAAGGGCGCGUAGGCGGAGACGCAAGCCAGACGUGAAAUCCCGGGGCUCAACCCCGGAACAGCGUUUGGAACUGUGUUUCUCGAGGAUAGGCGGAGAAAACGGAAUUCCACAUGUAGCGGUGAAAUGCGUAGAUAUGUGGAGGAACACCUGUGGCGAAAGCGGUUUUCUAGCUUAUACCUGACGCUGAGGCGCGAAAGCGAGGGGAGCAAACAGGAUUAGAUA
rnacentral:rRNA from 1 species